rnacentral:rRNA from 1 species
UGGGGAAUAUUGCACAAUGGGGGAAACCCUGAUGCAGCCAUGCCGCGUGUGUGAAGAAGGCCUUCGGGUUGUAAAGCACUUUCAGCGAGGAGGAAAGGUUGGCGCCUAAUACGUGUCAACUGUGACGUUACUCGCAGAAGAAGCACCGGCUAACUCCGUGCCAGCAGCCGCGGUAAUACGGAGGGUGCAAGCGUUAAUCGGAAUUACUGGGCGUAAAGCGCACGCAGGCGGUUGGAUAAGUUAGAUGUGAAAGCCCCGGGCUCAACCUGGGAAUUGCAUUUAAAACUGUCCAGCUAGAGUCUUGUAGAGGGGGUAGAAUUCCAGGUGUAGCGGUGAAAUGCGUAGAGAUCUGGAGGAAUACCGGUGCGAAGGCGGCCCCCUGGACAAAGACUGACGCUCA